rnacentral:rRNA from 1 species
CAGCAGCCGCGGUAAUACAGAGGGUGCGAGCGUUAAUCGGAUUUACUGGGCGUAAAGCGUGCGUAGGCGGCUUUUUAAGUCGGAUGUGAAAUCCCUGAGCUUAACUUAGGAAUUGCAUUCGAUACUGGGAAGCUAGAGUAUGGGAGAGGAUGGUAGAAUUCCAGGUGUAGCGGUGAAAUGCGUAGAGAUCUGGAGGAAUACCGAUGGCGAAGGCAGCCAUCUGGCCUAAUACUGACGCUGAGGUACGAAAGCAUGGGGAGCAAACAGGAUUAGAUACCCUGUAGUCCCUGUCUCUUAUACA